UACAGGGGGGGCAAGCGUUGUUCGGAAUUACUGGGCGUAAAGGGUCUGUAGGCGGCUAACUAAGUCAGACGUGAAAUCCCUCAGCUUAACUGGGGAACUGCGUCUGAUACUGGAUGGCUUGAGUGCAGGAGAGGAAUGCGGAAUUCCAGGUGUAGCGGUGAAAUGCGUAGAUAUCUGGAGGAACACCGGUGGCGAAGGCGGCAUUCUGGACUGUAACUGACACUGAGAGACGAAAGCCAGGGGAGCAAACGGG
rnacentral:rRNA from 1 species